rnacentral:rRNA from 1 species
AUUGAACGCUGGCGGCAGGCCUAACACAUGCAAGUCGAACGAGCGGCGGACGGGUGCGUAAUGUCUGGGGAACUGCCCGAUGGAGGGGGAUAACUACUGGAAACGGUAGCUAAUACCGCAUACCAUCAGAUGAGCCCAUAUGGGAUUAGCUAGUAGGUGAUGUAACGGCUUACCUAGGCGACGAUCCCGAGCUGGUCUGAGAGGAGGACCAGCCACACUGUAACUUAGACACGGGCCAGACUCCUACGGGAGGCAGCAGUGGGGAAUAUUGCACAAUGGGCGCAAGCCUGAGGCAGCCAUGCGGGGUGUAUGAAGAAGGCCGUCGGGUUGUAAAGUACUUUCAGCGAGGAGGCGUUACUCGCAGAAGAAGCACCGGCUAACUCCGUGCCAGCAGCCGCGGUAAUUC